rnacentral:lncRNA from 1 species
AUUUAAAUAGGUUUCCAACUGUUAAAAGUAGUUUUCUCAUUUUUCAUGUUGACAUUCUCAAAACCAAUUUGUCUUCUUGAUGUUCUGGCUUACCGUUCCCUCUGGAAUGGAAGCCUAUCUCCAAUAGGAGGAAGAAGAGACUGUACUCUGUGACCUUCUGUGAAGGGACUCAGUGAUCUCCAGUACAUUGACCCACUGGAUACUUACCCUCUGAUUCCCUGCCAGGGAUUCCCCAUGGGUCAAAGCCAAUGGGAUGCCUCCUUCUGAAGCCACAGGAGCCUGUUGAUAGAGUUCAGAGAGGACAUCCUCCCCAGGCAGAGAACAGCGUAGAAAAGUGAAGAAUGGAUCAGUUGGAGCAAGUCCGAAGUAUCUGGCACAGCUUUCUUAAUGCAGGAGAAAACAGGGUAGAGAAUACGGCACACAGGAAAGUGUACCCCGAAGAAGCUUUGCAUCCUCUCCUUGACCAGAUAUAGCUGUGUGACCUUGGGCCGAUCACACCACUUCUCUGAUUUACAGGUAAUGCCAUCCUCUCCUUUUAACUGCUACAUUAAACUCUUUUUUCCUAAUGACUAGAAUUUAUUUUUAGAAUAAUUUUAUGAAAAAAAUAGACAGUACAGAGUUCUUAUAUACCCUUCUGCUCCUCCAUUCUCCCAGUUUCUCCUAGGAUUAACAUCCUGCAUUAGUGUGGCACAUCUGUCACAAAUGAUGAACCACACUGAUACAUUAUUAAAGUCCAUAGUAUUAUAUUAGUGCUCACUCCAUGUUUAUAGUCCUAAGGGUUUUGACAAAUGUUUAGUGUCAUAUAUCUGCCAUUACAGUGUCAUACACAAUAGUUUCACUGUUCUAAAAAAAUCUGCUCGUGCAAAUCCCAUUCAUUCAUCUAUUCAACAUAAUACUAAGUGCUGGAGACACAAAGAUAAAUAGCACACUGCUUGUAACUAGUAGGCACUGGGAAAUAUGCACAUUGAUGGAGUCAUGGAUGAUGAUCAUCAUCAUAGU